AUCAAUGCCGGAAGAAAAUGUAUCGGACGGCUGUAACGGGUCGUGCGAAGAAUGUCAGGUAUUCAGUUUAAGGUUCCCAAACUAGAGGGGGAAGAGUUGUGAUGUAUGCGCCGACACAGUUUGCAUGUGUGAGUGUCGGCCAGCGCGACCGCAGGUUUUGAAUAAACAGUUAUGCACGAA